rnacentral:rRNA from 1 species
UACAGAGGUCUCAAGCGUUGUUCGGAUUCAUUGGGCGUAAAGGGUGCGUAGGCGGCGCGGUAAGUCGGGUGUGAAAUUUCGAGGCUUAACUUCGAAACUGCAUUCGAUACUGCCGUGCUUGAGGACUGGAGAGGAGACUGGAAUUUACGGUGUAGCGGUGAAAUGCGUAGAUAUCGUAAGGAAGACCAGUGGCGAAGGCGGGUCUCUGGACAGUUCCUGACGCUGAGGCACGAAGGUCAGGGGAGCAAACGGGG